UAUAUUUUUAUGAUGAGUCCAUAGUUCAUCUGAUAUGUCUCGGAUGAUUUUUAUUAUGUCUUUCGCUCCUAUCUGAUUUU